rnacentral:rRNA from 1 species
UACAGGGGGGGCAAGCGUUGUUCGGAAUUACUGGGCGUAAAGGGCCAGUAGGCGGCCAACUAAGUCCGACGUGAAAUCCCUAGGCUUAACCUGGGAACUGCGUCGGAUACUGGAUGGCUUGAAUUCGGGAGAGGGAUGCAGAAUUCCAGGUGUAGCGGUGAAAUGCGUAGAUAUCUGGAGGAACACCGGUGGCGAAGGCGGCGUCCUGGACCAACACUGACACUGAUGAGCGAAAGCCAGGGGAGCAAACGGG